rnacentral:rRNA from 2 species
AGGUAAGCUACUAAGAGCGAAUGGUGGAUGCCUUGACUGGUAAAGGCGAUGAAGGACGUACUAGACUGCGAUAAGCUACGGGGAGCUGUCAAGAAGCUUUGAUCCGUAGAUUUCCGAAUGGGGCAACCCAAUGUAUAGAGAUAUACAUUACCUAUAUAGGAGCGAACGAGGGGAAUUGAAACAUCUUAGUACCCUCAGGAAAAGAAAUCAA